rnacentral:lncRNA from 1 species
AAAAUAAACUUUAGUUUAUCCAAGACCGUGUAUGUUGACCAACGCCGCCGAAAUAAAUGCCGCUAGUCGUGUGAUCGAGAAAAAAUAAAAAUCGAAAAAGAAAACGAAAAUCGCUAAAAAAGAAAUUGUUGUUGUAGUUAAACAAGAAUUUAUUUACAACGUUGACGUCGUCGUCGUCGUCGCCAUCGUUCACAACCAGCACAUUUUUGAUUAAUUUUUAUUGUCUUAUGUUUUGUUGUUAUUGUCAAAAUGCACUCGCGAGAGGAAAGUGUUUAUAAAUUGAUAAAAAUUUAAACAAAAAAAAUCUUAACAACUAUAACAAUAAUAAUAAAUUUUAAAACAACAAAAGAAAAAACUUGCGCAACACAACAAUAUUUUUUUUUAUUUUACCUCGUGUUUAUUGUUGUUGUCCAAUUUAAAAAGCGAUUCAAAACGACAGGCGAAUUAACCCAAAAUAAACCGGCUAAACGUGCGCGCGUUGCUUUAGCUCCUUUUUUUGUUUUGUUCAAAAAAGGGCAGGGUUCUCGGUUUAACAUCAAAGAAAAGUGUAACGAUUAACGAACUUUUUAUUUAAACAAAAAUAAAAUUAUUUUACGAAAAUUUAAAAAAUUAUAAACGAACGAGCAGCUCAGCUGUUUUUUGUUGUUUUCAAAUUAAGUUUUGGCAAACAUUGGAUACACCAAACAAUACGGUAAUGAAAUAGAAGAAAAAAUAAAAUUAUUUGUAGUGAACGGAUACAACAAGAUGAAUGUAUCUCAAUAUCUUUUGUAAAAAAAAAAUAAUACAAAAACAAAAAACGAAGAAAAAAAAUAAAUAAAAACAAAACCGCAAAGUAAAGAGUUUUUCUAAAAUACAAAAGCAACAACAACAACAGCAGCAGGCAGAAAUUUUUGUAUUUUGUUGGGUUUUUGGUGUGUGAGCUCGUUAGUUUAUUUAUUCAACGACCGAUACCGUGUGUGGACAUUAUUUUCCGAAACGCGCAACAUAACACAACACACAACUGCAACAUAUUUUCUUAAAAAAAAUUAAACGAAUUUGUACAAAAAAUUAUUUAAAACAAAACAAUUUUUAAAUUAAUUUUAAUUUAAUAAAAAACAAAAUAUCUACAAGAUAUGUUAAACUAAAACAAAAU